rnacentral:rRNA from 1 species
CCCUUAGAUGUUCUGGGCCGCACGCGCGCUACACUGAUGAAUUCAACGAGCACUAACCUGUGCAGAAAUGUUCGGGUAAUCUUGUGAAAUUUCAUCGUGAUGGGGAUUGAUUAUUGCAAUUAUUAAUCAUAAACGAGGAAUGCCUAGUAAGCGUGAGUCAUCAGCUCACGUUGAUUACGUCCCUGCCCUUUGUACACACCGCCCGUCGCUCCUACCGAUUGAAUGUGCUGGUGAAAAGUUCGGAUUGGGAAUAGGAGACGGCAACGUAUCCUGUUUCUGAGAAAAUCUUUAAACCCUCCCAUUUAGAGGAAGGAGAAGUCGUAACG